rnacentral:lncRNA from 1 species
GGGAGAUUGAAAAGGAACAGGCCCCAAGGACGGGGUAGAAACCAUAUGAAAUGCAGCUGCAGAAUCCAAAAGAAUUUUGAGGAAGAAGAUGUGAGACACAGUUUCAAAGAGGACAAGUAAGUAAUUCAGGCCUUUCCAACUUCUCUCUCCAAACUGAUAUAAACGUCCCCUGUGGCAAUCAGCAAAGAGCCCUCCUAGAAUCAGGAUGUCUGCUCCCAGUUCAAGUCCUUGUGAGGAUUAUAAAGGAAAGAUGUGCUGUCAUUACAUCAGGCAUGGUUCAUGGAGAAAUACAGGAAAAUUCGGCCCACCCGUACAAGAUAUGGAAGCAUCAUGUCCAUGAGGAAUCAAGUAUGGACUUGAUUCUAAGCAGAUGGAGUCCUGAAUAUUUCAGAAUUUCUUCAACCACAUUGAUAAUGUCUCCCUGGGGUAAUGGCCUAAUAAGAGGAGUAGGUAGCACAUGAUUGGAAGUAAAGGGCAAAGAGCUGGAAACAGACAACAGCACUGACUAGUAACAGUUACUUACCUACAGUAAAUUAUUAUAAGCCACAGGAGAACUAUUAUUUUACAUUUACAUCUUCUGCGUCAGUUGGUGAACCCCUUGAGGCCAGGGACUAAUUCCUGGUAUGGUCCCAGCAUGAAGUAAACACUCUAAAAUGUUUUCCGAAGUUAUCUCUUUUUACAUAUGCUUUUCAUACCUCUUGAUGCAUUUUAAUGAGUUC